rnacentral:rRNA from 1 species
UACGUAGGGACCGAGCGUUGUCCGGAUUCGAUUGGGCGUAAAGAGCUCGUAGGCGGCCACUCAAGUCGAAUGUGAAACCUCGAGGCUUAACCUCGAGCCUGCAUUCGAUACUGGGCGGCUAGAGUCUGGUAGGGGGGAUCUGGAAUUCCUGGUGUAGCGGUGGAAUGCGCAGAUAUCAGGAGGAACACCGGUGGCGAAGGCGGGAUCCUGGGCCAGUACUGACGCUGAGGAGCGAAAGCGUGGGGAGCAAACAGG